rnacentral:rRNA from 1 species
GAUGAACGCUGGCGGCGUGCCUAAUACAUGCAAGUCGAGCGAACAGACGAUGAGCUUGCUCCUCUGACGUUAGCGGCGGACGGUUGAGUAACACGUGGAUAACCUACCUAUAAGACUGGGAUAACUUCGGGAAACCGGAGCUAAUACCGGAUAAUAUAUUGAACCGCAUGGUUCAAUAGUUAAAUACGGUUUUGCUGUCACUUAUAGAUGGUUCCGCGCCGCAUUAGCUAGUUGGUAAGGUAACGGCUUACCAAGGCAACGAUGCGUAGCCGACCUGAGAGGGUGAUCGGCCACACUGGAACGGAGACACGGUCCAGACUACUACGGGAGGCAGCAGUAGGGAAUCUUCCGCAAUGGGCGAAAGCCUGACGGAGCAACGACGCGUGAGUGAUGAAGGUCUUCGGAUCGUAAAACUCUGUUAUUAGGGAAGAACAAAUGUGUAAGUAACUAUGCACGUCUUGACGGUAACUAAUCAGAAAGCCACGGCUAACUACGUG